GUGGGGAAUCUUCCGCAAUGGACGAAAGUCUGACGGAGCAACGCCGCGUGAGUGAAGAAGGUUUUCGGAUCGUAAAGCUCUUUCGUUAGGGACGAACGUGCUCUUUGUGAAUAAUGAGGAGUAAUGACGGUACCUAAAUAAGAAGCCACGGCUAACUACGUGCCAGCAGCCGCGGUAAUACGUAGGUGGCAAGCGUUGUCCGGAAUUAUUGGGCGUAAAGCGCGCGCAGGCGGGAUAUCAAGUCUGUCUUAAAAGUGCGAGGCUCAACCUCGUGAGGGGACAGAAACUGGUAUUCUUGAGUGUCGGAGAGGAAAGUGGAAUUCCAAGUGUAGCGGUGAAAUGCGUAGAGAUUUGGAAGAACACCAGUGGCGAAGGCGACUUUCUGGACGAUGUCUGACGCUGAGGCGCGAAAGCCAGGGGAGCGAACGGGAUUAGAAACCCUGGUAGUCC
rnacentral:rRNA from 1 species